rnacentral:tRNA from 1 species
CAUCAUCAGAUGGCUGAAAG